rnacentral:lncRNA from 1 species
AAUUCUUAAAGAAAUAUUAGAAUGAUCACAAAUAUUACUCAAAUAUAUGUCAAUUCAACCUUAAUUUAAUUCUAAUUAAAACCCUAUUGAAUUUCACUCAAAAUUUAGACCAAACCUAAUUAAAUCUUAAACCCUAAUAAAUCCUAAAUCCUAAGUCAAAUCCUAAACAAACCUUAAAUUAAAUCCUAAAUCAAAUCCAAUUUCAAAUCCUAAAUCCUAAACCAAACCUUAAAUCAAAUCCUAAUCCGAAUCCUAAAUCAAAUCCUAAUCCAAAUCCUAAAUCAAAUCCUAAUCAAAUCCUAAAUCCUAACCUAAAUCCUAAUCCAAAUCUAAACCCUUACCAAACCCUAAACCCUAAUCUAAAUCCUAAUCCAAAUUCUAAAUCAAAUCCUAACCAAACUCUAAUCCAAAUCUUAAAUCAAAUCUUAACCAAACUCUAAACCCUAAUCCAAAUCCUAAUCCAAACCCUAAUCCAAACCCUAAAUCAAAAUCUAACCAAACCCUAAUCCAAAUCUUAAAUCGAACCCUAGCCAAAUCCUAAUCCAAAUCCUA